UACGUAGGGGGCAAGCGUUGUCCGGAUUUAUUGGGCGUAAAGAGCGUGUAGGCGGUCUGGUAGGUCCGUUGUGAAAACUCGAGGCUCAACCUCGAGACGCCGAUGGAAACCCUCAGACUAGAGUCCGGAAGAGGAGAGUGGAAUUCCUGGUGUAGCGGUGAAAUGCGCAGAUAUCAGGAAGAACACCCGUGGCUAAGGCGGCUCACUGGACCAUAACUGACGCUGAUGCACGAAAGCUAGGGGAGCAAACAGG
rnacentral:rRNA from 1 species